GACGAACGCUGGCGGCGCGCCUAACACAUGCAAGUCGAACGAGCGAGCGAGAGCUUGCUUUCUUGAGCGAGUGGCGAACGGGUGAGUAACGCGUGAGGAACCUGCCUCAAAGAGGGGGACAACAGUUGGAAACGACUGCUAAUACCGCAUAAGCCCACGGUGCCGCAUGGCACAGAGGGAAAAGGAGCGAUCCGCUUUGAGAUGGCCGCGCGUCCGAUUAGCUAGUUGGUGAGGUAACGGCCCACCAAGGCGACGAUCGGUAGCCGGACUGAGAGGUGGAACGGCCACAUUGGGACUAAGACCCGGCCCAGACUCCUACGGAAGGCAGGAGUGGGGAAUAUUGCACAAUGGGGGAAACCCUGAUGCAGCGGCGCCGCGUGGGGGAAGAAGGUCUUCGGAUUGUGAGCUCCUGUUGUUGGGGAAGAUAAUGACGGUACCCAACAAAGAAGAGACGGCUAACUACGUG
rnacentral:rRNA from 1 species